UUUUCUUCGUUUGCCUGCAAACACAAUUUUAAAUUUAUUUCUUUUAUUUAAAGCAUUUAAUUAAUUUAAAUAUCAGUUAAGUGUUCAUUAGUCGUAUCUAAGAAUUCAUUUAUUCCUAUGAUGAGGCCAGUAUGUCAAAUUUAAACUAGGCCUUAGGUCGAAUUUAGGUUUAAGAAGAACCAAGCGAUGAAUUUAUUUAAUACUCGUCACAACCAUGGCGUGGAAAUUGUUUAUUAUUCAAAUCGGAUGUCGAUAAGAAACAAGACGAAACGUCAAAUUAACACAUAAACUCUUCUUUUAUUAUUUUGAGUGCUGAAUUAAAACUGCUUUUAUGACGAAGUAAGACGGUUAACGUCACUCGUAGUCGUCGGAUGUAUCGCACACGAGAAAGGACGCAGUCAACCGCGCAAAGCGUUUAUAUUCAUAUCUUUCUUAUUGGACAGAAUUUCGUAUAUUAACGUUAUUCUUACCUGUUUUACGUUUUUUUACGAUUCGGAAGUGACUAUUACAAUUGCUAAAAAUAUAUUAUAGUCUAACGUUGCUUUACCUUUUGUGUGAGAUUGUGAGGAUUUUAGCUUAAGUUUCGACUGAAGAUGGAUGCCUGUAUGUAAUAUUGUAAAUUAUAAUUUCUCAUAAAAUAUAAUUUUUUUCAGCUAAGUGUAUUGUUUCAUUUGUUUAAUAUAUAAAAGCUGAUCGAUUUACAUAUCAUGAAUGUGGCUGUGUCUUCGAGUAAGCCUGUAACAUCCCACAU
rnacentral:misc_RNA from 1 species